GCAGGCAGGCAGAGAGCCAGGGAGAGAAUAAGAGAAAGUCACAGAGAUGUACCUGUUGUGAGUUUGGGCUCCUCAAGGCUUGAAAUUAAUUAGUACCAGAUACUCCAUUUGGUGGCUCUCCAGUUAGAUCUCAGAUGUUCUUACAAAAGCUCUCCCCUCUUGUCUUUUUGAUAAGUGAAGUAGGUGCAGUGGCCCUGAAGAGACCUCACAUGGAGCUCUGACUGAUGAGGGUCACAGGACAGAGUCCACCCUCCAUCACCCUGACCAAGGUCUCUGAAGCUACAGAUGUAGUCCAGGAGAGAUGCAUUCUGGGACCGAGGAUAGACUCAGGCUGCAGUCCUCAAGGUCCAAACCAGCUCAGAGCCAUAGCACACCUGCUGUGUCCCUUGGCCAUCCAAACAGCAGAGGGGUUGAAGCAGGGGAUACACCCAGUUCUCUGUCUCCUCCAGCCUCUUCAGUUUUCUCCAGCAUAGCAGUACCCACCAUCUCGAACGUUACAUUUUUUGGUAAAUCAGUUUAGAAAGACCAAAACUACCCCAGGGAGACAAAUCAUAAAAUACCCUGCAACAGGCUGCGUCUUCCUGAACGUAACAUUUGCCCUCUUAAACCAGGGGCGCAGGGAGAGACAGCCCUGGUGCAUAGCUAUUAAACCAACUCUGGUUCUAAGAGCCUUCUUUCCCACCUACUCUCUUGGGGACACCCAGAGCUCCACUGGAGAAGCAGGCAUCGCCAUCUUCGCCACAGGUCUAGAUGGAGGAUGACUGCAAAGACCGGUUCAGGUCCUCUUGCAUCAGGAGAAGUUUACCCACUGAACAUAUGUGUCCCUUCUCCUCCUCAGAACAGUCCAAGUGAGUUAUUUUCCCAAGACUGGACUUAGUUAAGACCAGUAUUAUUAGCCUCACUUGAUAGGAAGAAGGUGAGACCAGUAUGGAGUUGGGGUGGCUGGCAGUUCACAGCCUGCAGCAGGAAUACUGUGCAGUGCGGCUCCCAAACCCCUCCCGUUCUAAACUGUGUCCACCCUUCAAUAUGAUUCAUCUGAGACGACUACGCUGAUAGUCCUUUAAGACUAGUAGGGUAGACUAGCCGUCCUCCAGGGACCUGAGAUAAUCCAGUUAUGACCAGCUAAUUCUCCUAAACCGUUAGUUCUUACAUUCCACUAUUCUAGUAGCCCUUAAGGACAGGGACACUGCAGCGCUCAAAACCUAUUCCAAUCCCAAGGUAGGUUCCCGGUGUCGGGAGAGGACCACGUGACUAUCCUGCACACACCGGUCCCACCCUGUCUCUACCCUGCCCCAGGGCGUGAUCUGUUCAACAGGUCCUAUUCCCCAGGGCAGGGGAACUCUGGCCUGGAAUGCAGGAAGCAGAGCACCUUAGAGCAGGAGCUGUACUCAUCCUUGCUGAAUUUCCCGGAGCUCCUGGGUCAGUCCACAUAGCUGGGAGCAACUCUAUGACAAUGGACUUGGACGGAAAGUUUUAACUCCACAGAAAUUUUAUUAAAAGUAGAUUUUUUCCAUACAAUAUAUUCUGAUCAUGUUUUCCCCUCCUGCCACAUUCUCCCAAAUUUUUCCCAUACCCACAGGAUUCUUGUUUGAGAUGGUCUGGUUUGAAGUGUUUCUUAUUUAUAAAAGGGUCUCAUGUAGGCCAGGCUGGCCUCUACUUCCCAUGGCUACUGAGGCUAGCUGUGACCCCAUGACCAGCCUGCUUCUACAUGCCACCACCCAGCUUGGGACUGGGUAGUUGUGAGCGAAUGCAAGCUUGUGUCUUUACUCCUAAAACUGACACACAGGCAAAGACAUGGAAUCACAGAGACCCAAAGUUAACCAGCCAUCACCAAGCUCACCCUGCAUGUUUGGGGCAGGUAGUGCUAUAUUUAAACUCUGGGGCAGCUGCUUUAUGACUAUCCUAGACAAAGCCUGUGUCUAGAUAGAAAGACCAGACAGGUCCAGCCAUGGAAAAAGUGCUGGAGAGGGGCAGAGAGAAGAACCUCUUUUUCCUGCCUUCCUGCCCUUUGGGGUGACACAUAACCACCUCCAGGGCUGCAGCUGGGAUCCAAGACCAGUCACUGGGAACCGGAUUCCUUCCCCUCCCCCACUGGAACUAGCAUCCAGCAGAGCCUGGAACUGCCCUGGGGAAAAAGGGGCUGCCUGCCAAGUAUCUGCCCACCUGGGGCCACAGCCAGGGCCAAGGCCCGGUCAGACUCUGCAGUCUGUGCACAGCCUGAAACAAAGUGGGCAAAAGGGUGUCCUUGAGUCCACAUUGCCUUGCCUCUUACUCUGCUCAUCGAGAAAUAACAGGAAAUAAAGUAAGAAAAUGAAAGAAUCAUAAAAUGUUUACAAGAGUAGCUACGCUCCCAAUUCUUAUUCACAGGUGUGUCUACACCAUGGGGCCAAGCCAACAGGAAGACUGGUUUGCUUGUUGACUGGAUCACAUCUCAUGGAUCCAUUUGAUUAUUAGCAUUUGCUAAACCUGCCCUAGGAAAUAAAAACGGCCCAGCUUGGAGGGAGAAGGGGAACCAGCCAUUUUAAGUAAACAAGAAGGCUUCAGACAGUGCAGCAGGCUUUGAAGGAAGUAAACAGGAGAGGACAGAACGUACCUGGUUGGGGGCAGGGAAAGGACCUAUUUCAGAUCAGCUGACACUUUGAGCUGAGCUACCUGAGAAGUCUGAGGAAACACUGCUCCAGACGAGCCAGGGAGCAUCAAGUGCAAAGUUCAAAGUGGGAACCACUGAGGGAAGGUCCUCAGUGUGGCUGGACUACAGGAGCAACAAGCUGACUUUCUAGAAAACUGGGCUUCCCCGGGCCAGGAUCUGAGAGCUGUGAGGACCUGGUGGGACAGCCUGAAAGGCUGUUGAAAAGGUCACUCUGCCAUUAGGAAUGCCUUAAUGAGUCUGACCAGGCAAUCUUCGGAGCCUGACCUGGAUGCACACAAGAUCUACUUCAGUAAUUCUGGUGAAGUCACUAGUAUCUUCCUGCGUACCCCCACUUUGGGGUGUGUGUGGGGGUAGCGGAGUAAGUGGGUCAGCGUUUUUUUGUAGCCCAGGCUGGCCCUGAACUCCUGAUUUAACUUCAACCUCCCUAACACUGGAAUUACAGCAUGGAUCACCACUCAGCAGCUGUUUUAUUUUGGAGCUGGUUUCAAACCUUGAACUCCCUUGAAUUCCCCAAGAGGCUGGCCUUGAAUUUCUCCUGCCCCAAAUCCCAAGUGCAGGGAGUACCAGAACUACCACAAUGCAGAUUAAGACAACCCCAGGAAGACAGGGUCUCAAUACAUACCUCUGACUGGCCUGGAAUCUCACCAGCAAAGGCUACGAUUCCUCUUUUCGGAUAAAUUUCUCUUGGAGGCUAAAUUACACCUGUGCAGUUUUAUCAGUUUAUUCCUACUCUCAAAAACUAUUUAAAAUCUUUAUAAAAGAUCAAUUAUAAAAAGUACACGUGCAAAUUUUAAAUUUCAAUAUUGCACAAACAAUGGAAAUUUGACUGCUACCCAGGAAAGGCAGCCUGUAUUUUUGGAGUAACAAAUUUGAUCACUUUAGUAACUAAGUUUUGAGGCUGCAGAGAUGACUCAGAGGUUCAGAGCUCUGGCUGCUCCAGAGGAUUUGGUUCAAUUCAUAGCACCUACAUGGCAGCUUGUGACAGUAACUCCAGCCGGGAUUUGGCACCUCACACAGACAUACAGGCAGACAAUGAGAAUUAUUUAAAAAACUCAAUCCCGAGGUGGAGAGAUAGUUCCUCCUGCAGAGGAGCACCCAAGUCAGGUGGCCUACAACCAGCAGUUCCAAGGAACCCGGCGCCCUCUCUGGCUUCUGCAGUCAUACCAGGUACCAUGUAACUAGAGAGUUCUAAACCAGUCAGUUAAAAAAAAAAAAAGAGAGGUGAGAUCCUGUCUCAAAAAACCCUCCAAACCUAACACACAUCCAAAGAAAAUCACUACCACUUAUAACAACAACAACAACCACAAAAAUGAUCUGGGCCAUCCAGUUCGUUCAAUGUUCCCUUUCUGGAACCAAAACCAGUUAGUAUUAAUGUUGACGUUAUCACUUAACCUCUCUCUUUCCCUGAUUUCGAAAUGAGGUCUAUUCCACUCAGCCGAGCUUAAGGAGCUGUGAGGGAAUGAAGGCGGUGUGCGUCGGAGGGAGGGGGUGGGGAGUGGGAGGAGAAGGAGUUGAAAGGGGCGGGGCGGGGUCCAGAGGCAAGUGUCGGUCGCAGCUGCACUGAGUUUGGGGACCCGGACCAGGUAUCGAGGCCUGGAAUCCCAGACCCGCAGGAAGCAGGAAGCAACGCAGCUAAGAGGGAGAAAAGCUGACAGAAACCGGGAAUGUCCGCGGGAACAGACUCAACAGGGACCAGCUGGGAUCCGCCGCGGACCGUAGGAGGCUGGGCGCCUGGCGCGAGAGGCCAAUAGGCGAACGAGCCGAAAGAGGGGCGACGCAAGGCCAAAGGGAGGGAUAGCCAGGCUGGGGGCGGGGACUCUAGGAACACGUGGCCAAUGGCAGGGCGAGCUGGGUUGGGGCGUGGCCCCUGGUGUGAAGCCAAUAGUAGGGAGUACGGCCUGGGUGAGGCCAAUGGGAGCUCGAGGGUGGAGGGGGAGCCAGACCCGGAAGGCAGUGGGGGCGGGGAGCCGCGAUGACAACCUGUCAAGUCCACUUCGGGACGAACUAGGUCACGCGCUUCUUGUUGCUCCGGCGCUCCCGCCCCGCGAGGCCCUGCGGGUGGCCCUGGGGCCCAGCGGCUCCGCUUCCUCUUCCUGCCCGCGGGGGUGGGGGCGGGGCGGACACCUGCCGUUAACAAGCCCGCUCCAACCUCGGGGCUGCUGAAGGCCGCCUAGCCCGCGGGCCCGCGCCCACCGAUCGGCCCGGAGCCAGAUCCGCGGUCUCCUGCUCCGGCCGUGGGCUCGGGAAAGCGCACAGCGCACUACUUGUCGCGGAGGGAUCGGGCUCCUGCAGUUACCUGUCCUGCACUCGGACCUGACCUCGGCCCAAGGGCCUCAAAUCCGCCUCACAGAGAAGUAUAACAGACAGUUAAUUUUCCAGAGGGAAUUACUGCUCCUGCCUUUAAUCAAUUUGGUUAAGAAUCCUCUGCCUUCAAAUAUAUAAAAAUGUUUAUGUAUGAUUUAUUUUAUUUUAUAACACUUUUAUUAUUUGGGGGUGGAAGGCCUGUGCCACUGUGGGAGCAUAAAGGAUAGAGGACAACUUGUGGGCAUCCUGUUCUUUUAGCGUGUGGCUUCUAGGGAUGGAAGGCAUUCCCGCCCUUGACAGGUCUCAUGUAGCUGGCCUGGAGCUCACCUGCAUAGAUCAUGCUGACUGAAAUCUCCGAGAUCCCUCUGCUUCUCUACCGCUGGGAUUAAACAUUGUCUUUCUUUC
rnacentral:sRNA from 1 species